rnacentral:lncRNA from 1 species
UCUGAAUUCAAAAUAUGAUGUGAAUUUUGAAAUAAAGUACCACCUUGUCUAAGACCAAGAUAAAUAAUCAUAACGUUUUAAAAAUGAGGCAAUCUUCCCUCUUUUUUUUUUAUUCCCUUCCCCUUUUAUUUCCUUUUUAUCCCCCUUUGUUUGAGCUAUUGCUCCUUUGGUGACUCGAACCACGACCUUGAGGUUGUAGUUGAGAAGUACUGAUCAUCUGAGCAACCCCCUCUUGUCGACAAUCUUACUUCACUUCUUAUCAAUUCCGAUUGAACCCUCAAGAAGCGACCGUUGCUUUUGUGGAAUGCUUGUCUUCAAUAUAGAACUGGCUAAUCAAAACCAUCUUUUUUGGGGGGGAAUUGAGCACGAUGAUAUGCUGAGAUAAUAUAAAAUAAAUAAUAUGUUACAAUUGAACAAAAAUUAAAAACUUAAAUAGAAAUAAAGAGAGAAUUAUUUUUAUUAGAUAAUUAUUUACUUGACAAAUGAAAUUGAUAAGUUUUUGAUUGGAUGUGGGGACGCCAAUUGCCAACUUCUAUUCUUAAAUAGCACAUGCAAUAUAAAUAACACAGUCAAUUCUACUUGAUCAGGCAAUAGUAAUUAUAGUUACAAAAUAUAGGAUAAAAUUACUCUUGAAUUAUGAAGAUGUUUAAUUAAUAUGAGUUAAAAUGUUUAAUCACUUUUUUUUUAAUAUAUUUUGGAAUGCAAUAAUUCAAACAAUGUGUACAAAUUUUAUAAAUAAGCCAAUUUUAAAUUGUAAUCAUAUAUGAGACAUCGUAUACAAAAAUCACAAUCGAAAAUAUUUUGAUUUGUAAUUGUUUUUGAAGGAUACACUAAAAACAAUGAAAAUACAUCACUUCAAAAAUAGCUUAAAGGUUAAAAAAUUUACCUCAAAUCACUCGCAAUUUCGUGUUGCCAACAUCAAGUAUUUAAGAAUGUGGAAUAGAGUCUUGUUUAUCAAAGUGUUCAAUUUCUCCAAAUUGGCUUUCUAUCCGGCAAUUUUGGUAAAAUAAUACUAAACCUAAAGUGACACCAAUUGCAGACAAUUUUGGUAAAAGAAUUCUAAACGUGAAGUAACAUUAGUUGUUGGUGAAACCAACCUUUUUAACACUAUAGAAUUUGCCGUGCGUAAAUUUAGAAUAUUUAUGCUUCAAAUUGUUUGUAUUGUCCUAGAUCCUUUUAGAAAGAACUUUAGUUAGUGGAAUAACUCGCUAUGUUGGCUGAAUAUACUCAUAGAGUAAGAGAAGGAUUCAGUAGUAAAUUUGGUAAAAUAUACGUAAAGUAAUAUUAACUGCUGGACAAUUUUGUAAACGAAUCUUAAAUACAAAAAGCGACAUUAAUUGUUGGGAUCUUCUUAAUAUUAUAUUUCGACACUUUUCGUUUUUUAAAUAGAUAAAAAAGUUAUUUUUACUUAUAAUUAUAAUUUUAUCCAAUAUAAAAGCCACUUACGAAGGGUAAAAAAGACGAACAAUAUUUUGCUAAGGUUUUCGUGCUUUUAAUAUAAUAUAGAUAAUAAUUAAUUUUAUAAACUGAAAUACACAUUAAAAAAAUAAAAUAAACUGAAAAUAUAACAUAUAUAUAUACACACAUUAAAAAAAUCAAAUAAACUGAAAAUAUAACAUAUAUAUAUAUAUAUAUAUAUAUACACACACAUUAAAAAAAAUCAAAUAAACUGAUAAUAAUUAAUUUUAUAAACUAAAAUACAUAUUAAACCUAAUAAAUAAGAAUAAAGGUGGGGGGGGGGGGACGGGGAACCACGCUCCGACCGUGNNNNNNNNNNNNNNNNNNNNNNNNNGUACUAUAAUAACGUAAGAAGUAGAGGGGGGGGGGGGACCAACGCCUGCCCUAGCUGUGCGCUGGAGGAGAAAAACUGAAUAAGAGAAGAAGAAGAAUUACCUGGAGGUUGAACCCUAGCUGGUUGUUGCUGCUAACGUUGGGAAGGAGAAAGAAUGGUCUUUUCACUUUGGGUUUGUUUUGUAUAAUAAAAACAAAGACCCAAACUUUUUUUUUUAAAAAUGACCCCUCUGAACAGAAGCGAGCACUUCUACGCUUCGCGUUUUCUUGGCUGAUGCAAUCGCUUCUGAUGGUCGGGUCGCCUCAGUUAGGAAAAAGCGACUCUGAGAAUGUUAAUCACUUAUUUUUACAUAUGCUAUUUGGAAUUUCUUCUCAAAUUUUGGUCUGCAAUGGGUCAUGCCUCAUUCUAUCAAGGAGCUUUUGUUAGCUGGUAUUUUUCAAGAGUUGACAAAACCAUCAAAAGAAUUUGGAGAAUGAUAGCUGCAGUAAAUUUGUGGUACUUAUGCAAAGAAAGGAAUCACAAUUGUUUUGAUAGAAUCUCAACUCCAACCUACCCUCUGAAAGCUAGAUGCUUAGUUAAUUUAUUCGGAUGAACUUUUCAUAAUCCCGUAAAUAGUGUUGAUAAUUUUUUGGAUAUUGUUAGCUCGCUGAUUCUAGCAUAGAUAUGGCUUGGAACUAGCUUUUUAUUGUUUACAGUUUUUUGAUAUGCUAGCUCCUUGUAGGUUUUUUUAUUGGAGCUAGCUUUUGAUUCCUUUUGUAAUUCUGCAUCUUCUUGAUGCCUUUUCUAAUGCAAUUUACUUCAUAAAAAACAUUAAUUUUUUUUGGGGGGAUUAUUUGGAAUGGUGAGACGUAUGUAAAGCACAAACAAUUUUUUUA